rnacentral:rRNA from 1 species
AUUGAACGCUGGCGGCAGGCCUAACACAUGCAAGUCGAGCGGCAGCGGAAAGUAGCUUGCUACUUUGCCGGCGAGCGGCGGACGGGUGAGUAAUGUCUGGGAAACUGCCUGAUGGAGGGGGAUAACUACUGGAAACGGUAGCUAAUACCGCAUAACGUCGCAAGACCAAAGAGGGGGACCUUCGGGCCUCUUGCCAUCAGAUGUGCCCAGAUGGGAUUAGCUAGUAGGUGGGGUAAUGGCUCACCUAGGCGACGAUCCCUAGCUGGUCUGAGAGGAUGACCAGCCACACUGGAACUGAGACACGGUCCAGACUCCUACGGGAGGCAACAGUGGGGAAUAUUGCACAAUGGGCGCAAGCCUGAUGCAGCCAUGCCGCGUGUAUGAAGAAGGCCUUCGGGUUGUAAAGUACUUUCAGCGGGGAGGAGGGUGUUGAGGUUAAUAACCUCAGCAAUUGACGUUACCCGCAGAAGAAGCACCGGCUAACUCCGUGCCAGCCGCCGCAGUAA